GACGAACGCUGGCGGCGUGCCUAAUACAUGCAAGUAGAACGCUGAGGAGAGGAGCUUGCUCUUCUUGCAUGAGUUGCGAACGGGUGAGUAACGCGUAGGUAACCUGCCUUUUAGCCGGGGAUAACUAUUGGAAACGAUAGCUAAUACCGCAUAACAAUGGAUGACCCAUGUCAUUUUUUUGAAAGGGGCAAAUGCUCCCCUACAUAAUGGACUUGCGGUGUAUUAGCUUGUAGGUGAAGUAACGGCUCACCUAAGCGACGAUACAUAACCCACCUGAGAGGGGGGUUGGCCAAACUGGGAACUGGACACGGCCCAGAACUCUACGGGAAGGAGCAGGAAGGAAACUUCGGGAAUGGGGGCAACGCUGAACGAGCAAAGGCGGGUGAGGGAAGAAGGGUUUCGGAACGGAAAGAUCCGUUGUAAGGCAAGAAAGAGUGGGAGAGGGGAAAGUUCACACUGUGACGGUAGCUUAUCAGAAAGGGACGGCUAACUACGUG
rnacentral:rRNA from 1 species